UACGAAGGGGGCUAGCGUUGCUCGGAAUCACUGGGCGUAAAGGGUGCGUAGGCAGGUCUUUAAGUCAGGGGUGAAAUCCUGGAGCUCAACUCCAGAACUGCCUUUGAUACUGAGAGGCUUGAGUCCGGGAGAGGUGAGUGGAACUGCGAGUGUAGAGGUGAAAUUCGUAGAUAUUCGCAAGAACACCAGUGGCGAAGGCGGCUCACUGGCCCGGUACUGACGCUGAGGCACGAAGGCCAGGGGAGCAAACGGG
rnacentral:rRNA from 1 species